GUGACAGCAGCCGCGGUAAUACGAAGGGGGCAAGCGUUGUUCGGAUUUACUGGGCGUAAAGGGCGCGCAGGCGGUUCUUCAAGUCGGGUGUGAAAGCCCCGGGCUCAACCUGGGAACUGCACUCGAGACUGAAGAACUAGAGUUCGGGAGAGGAUGGCGGAAUUCCCAGUGUAGAGGUGAAAUUCGUAGAUAUUGGGAAGAACACCGGUGGCGAAGGCGGCCAUCUGGACCGAGACUGACGCUGAGGCGCGAAAGCGUGGGGAGCAAACAGGAUUAGAUACCCACGUAGUCC
rnacentral:rRNA from 1 species